rnacentral:rRNA from 1 species
GACGAACGCUGGCGGCGUGCUUAACACAUGCAAGUCGUGCGGUAAGGCCCUUUCGGGGGUACACGAGCGGCGAACGGGUGAGUAACACGUGAGCAACCUGCCCUUCACUUUGGGAUAACUGCCGGAAACGGUGGCUAAUACCGGAUAUGACUUCCUCACGCAUGUGGGGUGGUGGAAAGCCUUCGGGUGGUGGGGGAUGGGCUCGCGGUCUAUCAGCUUGUUGGUGGGGUGAUGGCCUACCAAGGCUUCGACGGGUAGCCGGCCUGAGAGGGUGACCGGCCACACUGUGACUGCGACACGGCCCAGACUCCUACGGGAGGCAGCAGUGGGGAAUAUUGGACAAUGGGCGCAAGCCUGAUCCAGCAACGCCGCGUGAGGGAUGACGGCCUUCGGGUUGUAAACCUCUUUCGCCUGCGACGAAGCGAGAGUGACGGUAGCAGGUAAAGAAGCACCGGCCAACUACGUG